rnacentral:rRNA from 1 species
GUGAGGAAUAUUGGUCAAUGGGCGGAAGCCUGAACCAGCCAUCCCGCGUGAAGGAAGGCGGCCCUAUGGGUUGUAAACUUCUUUAGUACAUGAAGAACAGGAUCUACGCGUAGGUUUAUGACGGUAAUGUACAAAAAAGCAUCGGCUAACUCCGUGCCAGCAGCCGCGGUAAUACGGAGGAUGCGAGCGUUAUCCGUAUUCAUUGGGUUUAAAGGGUACGUAGGUGGCCCUGUAAGUCAGUGGUGAAAAUCUGCCGCUUAACGGUAGGGGUGCCAAUGAUACUGCGGGGCUUGAGUACAGUUGAGGUAGGUGGAAUGUGUAGUGUAGCGGUGAAAUGCAUAGAUAUUACACAGAACUCCGAUUGCGAAGGCAUCUUACUAAGCUGAAACUGACACUGAUGUACGAAAGCGUGGGGAUCGAACAGGAUUAGAAACCCGUGUAGUCC